AACAGGAUUAGAUACCCUGGUAGUCCACGCUGUAAACGAUGUCGACUUGGAGGUUGUGCCCUUGAGGCGUGGCUUCCGGAGCUAACGCGUCAAGUCGACCGCCUGGGGAGUACGGCCGCAAGGUUAAAACUCAAAUGAAUUGACGGGGGCCCGCACAAGCGGUGGAGCAUGUGGUUUAAUUCGAUGCAACGCGAAGAGCCUUACCUACUCUUGACAUCCAGAGAAUUUGCUAGAGAUAGCUUAGUGCCUUCGGGAACUCUGAGACAGGUGCUGCAUGGCUGUCGUCAGCUCGUGUUGUGAAAUGUUGGGUUAAGUCCCGCAACGAGCGCAACCCUUAUCCUUUGUUGCCAGCACGUAAUGGUGGGAACUCAAAGGAGACUGCCGGUGAUAAACCGGAGGAAGGUGGGGAUGACGUCAAGUCAUCAUGGCCCUUACGAGUAGGGCUACACACGUGCUACAAUGGCAUAUACAAAGAGAAGCGAACUCGCGAGAGCAAGCGGACCUCAUAAAGUAUGUCGUAGUCCGGAUUGGAGUCUGCAACUCGACUCCAUGAAGUCGGAAUCGCUAGUAAUCGUAGAUCAGAAUGCUACGGUGAAUACGUUCCCGGGCCUUGUACACACCGCCCGUCACACCAUGGGAGUGGGUUGCAAAAGAAGUAGGUAGCUUAACCUUCGGGAGGGCGCUUACCACUUUGUGAUUCAUGACUGGGGUGAAGUCGUAACAAGGUAACC
rnacentral:rRNA from 1 species